rnacentral:lncRNA from 1 species
CCGGGAAGCCUGCGAGGUCGGUUCCGCCCGACUUUAACAUGGCGGCGCCCUUUGUCUGCUCUGAAGUGCUGUCCCUGGCCUUCUUGCGACUGUGAUGCACCUCCUUCUGAGGCGCGGUCCGGGACAUGUCAGGUAAUGAGCUGGAGAAGGGGAGCGAAGCUGGAGUUGACACAGACAAACUGUCAGAAAGGAGUAGCCUGGGCUGUGUGGAAAUCUGAGCAAACUGAAUAUUAGAAAUGAGACAGUAAUGUUCGCUCCUGGAUUUUGUAUCCUCACUCAUUGGUACAAGGAAAAGGGUUUGGUAAGUGUCUAUUCACAUCAGAGUUUGCCCUUUGGGAACAGACUAAGGAUCUGUUGAACUUGCUGUUCCCUGUCUGUCUGUGGAAGUUUUGUCCUUGUCUACAGUAGAAAGAGCACAGUGUGUAUGUAUUUUGUUUUUUUGAGAAAGGGUCUCCCUGUGUAGCCCAGGCUGGCCUCAAACUUGCAGUGAUCCUCCUGCCUCAUCCUCCAGGCAUUACAGAGGUGCACCACCAUGCCCAGCAAGAGCACAGUUUUUAGAGUAUGACAGGCUUGGCCUUGAGUCUGGGCAGGCAGGAGACCUAAGCGGGUGACAGGCACAAUGGGGUGACGCCACUCACACCCUCCUUGCAGGAUGCCGGUGAGCCCAGUGAGGCUGCAAUAUGUCACACUGUGCAGUGAGUCAUGGGCAGCUCUUCCAGUCACUUAAUUCUCUGUGGCCCUGCCCUUGGGAGCUAGGGAGCCUUUCUUGCCUAUAACCUCCCUAGAGGGCUUAUCAGGGAAGAGUGUAUUAUUAGCAAGACUGUUACUGUUCCACCUACAUUUUUUUUUUUUUUUUUUUGAGACAGGGUCUUGCUUCCUAGUUCAGGCUGGCAUUGAACUCAUGGAGAUCCUCCUGCCUCAGCCUCCCAAGUGUGCCACCACGCCCCACACCACCACGCCCCACACCACCUACAUUCUUUUUCCCAGAUUUUGUCCACACCUGGCUGAGAUACCUCGCCAGGUUGGAAGAAGUCAUGAGUCUGCAUUAUGGGUACUCCACCCAGUAACUCACACUGAACCAUUCAUUUUUACCCACCCAAUGGAUGCAUUAAAGUUUGCAUCAGAGGGGCUGGAGGUGUAGCUCAGUGUUAAUGUGCUCUCCUGGUCUGUGCAAGGCUGAGGCUUCCAUCCCCAGCACCACCAAAAAACAACACAAAACUGAAAAACACCCCUAAAAUCCGCAUCAGUGUUGGCAGGAUGCUGUCCAGACAGAGCACACCAUGUUGUGCC